rnacentral:lncRNA from 1 species
GCACUGAAAAGGUUUCCAGACUCUGCUGCCCAGCCAUGCCACACUUGCCUGGCAGCUCCCUAAAUGGCAAAUGCUUCUCAGAUGUGAGCAGAGCACAGAGGGUGACGCUGCUGCCCCUUGGAAGGGUGCUAGGCUCUCCUACAACUGCUUUUCAUGCAGGUAGGGACAGAAAAGCUGAACUGAAAAGCCAAGGUCCAUAUGGGUGCAUUGAGAUGGAUAUAUUCUCUUGCUAUUAUAGCUGCCCUGUUCCAACUGAGUGGUGUGAGACAUCAGCCUCUGAAACUGGAAUUAGCUCAUGCUAUCCCAAGGAGAGUUUGGUCCCUAAUAUUUUUGAUUACAGCAGAUGUUGCACAUAAUACAAUAGCUCUCACAAAGGGAGGCAGAGAUGCAGAAUGAGACCUACCAGAUAGCUAAUAAAAGAAAAGACCUCAUGAAGAACAAAAAAAAGCUGCUAGUGAUUGCAGAGAUAUGUUGCCCCCAGGAAAUUAAAAACACAGAUGCCGUGGCAUAUGCAAUAAGCAUCUCCUUUGUGUCCAUGUGAAAGUGCUGAAACCUCUGGACUAUUAUGAAAUUGAAAAGACGCUUUUAAGUCUUCCCCAUACACUUCAGCUGCUUGCAAGUGGUAGUGAAGAAAAUGAAGUAGAUCAUUCUGGCUUCUGUGCAACUUUAUUUACCAGGGAACCCACCUUCAGGAUAAACACACGCAUCAGUGCACGCACCUGCGUGGGGCUGUCAGGCAGCUGCCGCUCGGUGAAGGGAAGAGGCGCCAGGCUACAGCUGUAACGAGAAUGUAGAACGGGAGCAGUGUGCUCUCCGUGUCUUUCCCGGCCAUGUAUCUGUCCAACGCCAGCCGGAGGUUUGGGACCCGCAGGGCGCCGGUGUGGGUCCGAGCCCGGCGCCUGCUUGCAGGCACGGCCCAUCUUGUCUACGCAGACCCUCCCGGAGGAAAAAUAGACAAUAUAUACAUAUUGACACGAUUUUUCUCCCCCUCCUUCCCCGAGUUUGCCGUUCCCCGCCCUCCGCGGCGGGGGGAGCGCACCUGCGCCGAGCGGCCGGGGCUGUGCGCAGGCNCGCAGGAGCGCCGGGCAGCCCGGCCGUGCUCCGCAGCUCCCGCCGGCCCCCCGGGCCCCUCCAGCCACGCCGCUGCCCCGGGGGGCGGCAGCGCUGCCCCUGCCGCGAUGCCGGGCUGGAGGAAGAGCCUCGCCCUGUGCCUGCAGCGGAUGCAAGAGGACGGCAAUUCUGCUGAAAAGCAAAUCAAAACCAGAGGAAGGAAGUGCAGCCCUGCCUCAGUACAGUGUGCAACAAUGCAGGUCCUACCUGUGAGGUUGCUCUAUCCCUGAAAGAAGACAAUAGAAGAAAACUAGAGCUGCUCUGAAGCACUGCAAGAACAUAUUUAAGUGGAAACAAUAAUGUUGCAAUUAUUUUUUCCAUAAAAACAGUAUUUAAUUGAGGAUGUAAUCCUUCCAAAAAGAAAUAAUAAUUUUAAAAAGUCCAUUAAAAAAAAAUCUGUAUUGCAAAAUUACAUUGGGGGUUAUUGGUGGGAGAUUCCCUUAGUGCUACUCUUAUUAUGGAAGCUUGCUGUGUUUUAUUUUUAAUGAAGAGAAUAUUCAAAAUAUGUCAUCAACAAAGACCAUAUUCUCCUAGAGCAACGUCUUUCAUUGGAUGUGCAGAGUUUUAUUGCUGAGGUGGAGGAACAGGGUGGCUGUAUAUCCAAGAUGCUGUUGAAUCCUUUAUCUCUUUGUAGUAUUUAGAUUUUUGAUUUUGUGUGUCCAUAACAGUUACAGAAAUACACUUUUAUAUGUUUGUAACUCAGAGUAUUGGGAUGUCUUGCCAGUGUGUUUCAAUCUCUUUUACCUUUCAUUGGAGCAACCCACCUGCAAGCUUUUAUUUUUGUAGCUAAAGAAGUCGAACAGGGUUAGGGUUACAUUCCAGCUGUGUGGGGACUGUUAUGCUCAGAGUCCCUCAGUUUUAUUUCCAGAUGUAGUUCAAUGGGCAGCUGAGACAUGACCUGCUGCAGUGCACCUGCUCAGAGACUGUGCUUCUUUUUGUUGUUACCCCUGUUCAGUCUCUCCCGGUAUUUUCAUGGGGAGAAGCUAAGCAGAGGGAAUAGCCUGUCAGUACUAGACAAAGGGUUAUCUUCUGUAAGGCUCCCAAGUGAUCAGAGGACAGGGGCAGGUCGCUUAUUUAACCUUGCACUGGGUAGAGCAAAGAUUGAACAGACCUCAGAUAAGCUGUUGGAACCAAUGCCCAGACCAUGAACUGAAAUCUAACUCUGUCACUGAUUUAUCAGUGUGUUCUGAAUAUGAUGAUGGGUGCUAAGGGGAUCUCCCAUGGAAGCACAUUUGGAAUUCCCAGCUCAAUUCUGCUCAAAGGGCUCGGGGCUCAGACCACUCAGGAUAGCGUGAGAGGGAGGCAAAGCCUCACAAGCAUAGCUUCAGGCUCAGCAUAAUUAACAGAUUUGCAGGGAGUGGAGGAGAGGCUUGUCACAGAUUUUGACAGUCCCUUAAUGAAAUGUGUGGCCUUUCCUAAUGACCACACGUGCCUGCUGAACUGGUGAGCCCUGCCCUGCUCUGCCCUAGACCCUGCUGAGUGCCAGGGGCAGACCUGCAGAGGUGAGAGGGACCUCAGAGAGAUAACUGGUGUCUGGCAUCACCUGUGCUGCCAUCCCUGAACUGCCAGCCUGUGGUGUUUGGGACAGAGCUGACAGAACUCCCCUGUGUUGCUGCUUAGUUUCAGACUGUUUUGUUUUGGUCAUUUCAAGUGAGUGAUGGAUGAAUUUCUCAUGUGGAUUUUGAAAGGGCUGAAAAAUGUUAUCCAGUGGCUUCUAUUUCUCACAUUAUAUUUUUGAUGUAGGAAGGGAAGAUGAAGAACAUGAGGCACCUUCCUUUAAAUUUGUGACACUUCUGCCUGAUAUGGUUACUAAUGGGUAUUUUUGAUAGAAAUAGAAUAAAGACCUGGAAGCAUGGGCCCA